CCUACGGGGGGCAGCAGUGGGGAAUAUUGGACAAUGGGCGAAAGCCUGAUCCAGCCAUGCCGCGUGUGUGAAGAAGGUCUUCGGAUUGUAAAGCACUUUAAGUUGGGAGGAAGGGCAGUAAGCUAAUACCUUGCUGUUUUGACGUUACCGACAGAAUAAGCACCGGCUAACUCUGUGCCAGCAGCCGCGGUAAUACAGAGGGUGCAAGCGUUAAUCGGAAUUACUGGGCGUAAAGCGCGCGUAGGUGGUUUGUUAAGUUGGAUGUGAAAGCCCCGGGCUC
rnacentral:rRNA from 1 species